UCUCUCUCUCUCUCUCUCUCUCUCUCUCUCUCUCUCUUCCCCACCCCCCUCACCUCAUUUUGGGAGUGGGGUGGGAAUAUACUGCUUUAGCUUUUAUCUGCAGGGAGCCACAGCUCACCAUCAAUUUCUCAGGCCUCACCGACUUUGGCAAGGCUGGGGAUAAAAAGGGCCCUUUUCCUCUCUUCUUAAACUGUGAGGUUGUCUAUCCCAGGUGACCAGAACUGAGGUCUAGACCCUAGUUCUUCCUCUCCCGGUUGACCUUUGAACUUCAUGCUGAAGAAGUCAAGGGAGACUUAGGCAUAUAUCCCUGGCUUUCUACUCCCCUAUUGCUUGUAAUUGCUCAGAGAACUGAGUAGUGACCCCACAGCUAUAUCGGUUGGGCACCUUCUCCAUGUUAGUUGGAUAGACCAGUUACCAACACACCCCACGUCCCCCCUCACUGUGGUCAUCUGCUUUCCACAAGGUUUCUGCCAACUUUACUCAUGUCCCCAAUUCCUUCUGAGCAGUUUCAGUAACAGGUGAAGUUGGCCUCCAAGGAGCUAGGUAACUGCCUUCAUUGUGGGGCUUCCUUCUUUCCCACUGGGGGUUGUGGGCAACAAAUCUGAGCUACUCUAGCCAAUAAAAUAUUGGGGGGGGUAUUUUAUUUAAUUUUUUUUUUCAUAACAGAUUAUUUUAACUUUGCUUAAUUCCCACUCCAUUAUCAGUAGCCACAGACUAAAAUCCUGGAGGUGAAAGUGCCCUCUCUCCCCCGCCUCCCACCCCUCAGGGAUGGUCCGAGAUUCCCUGGUCUUGGCAGCACACACAGUUUACCGACUACCUUCCCCUUCCCCUCCCCCUCCCCACCAAAACCUAAGGGGCAUGGUCUUGGGUACAGUCCAGUGGCCACCACUUGCCAAGGGAUAGCCCCUGCCUAGAGUUGUCCAUUCUGGGCCUAGCUAGUGCCAGAAACCUCCCUGGCACUAGAGAGAUCCUGCUCCCUCCAAGGGCUUCCUCCUUUCUCAAGGGCUUGGUGUAUUUGGGGCCGUAGAAGGCUAUGGCUGCUGCCUCUAAAAAGCAUUUGCACUUUGGGACCCUCGAGUUUUUAAGGGCAUCAGAGUCUGUCACUCUUCUUGCAAGGUCACCUCCAGCACUGGCAGAAGAAGGCCAGGGAAUGGAGCACAUAGGUGAAGACAAUUGAACACCACUAAAGGACAAGGCUGAAGCCUACCCUGCUCAGUGUCAGGAGACUUCUUCCCUUUUGGCUCACCCUGGGAAGGACCUAGGCUGUUUGGAGGGUUAACCCUGAAAGAACCAGGGAAUUUGGAGUAAACCUUAUGCUCCCCAGGCUGAGAGAGGGACCAGAGGGUCCCCAGGGGAAGCUGGAAGAGAAGGAGGGGUUAAAAAAAAAAGUCAGUUUGAGUGGGGAAACCUAUUCUCCACACCUGGAAUACUUAUUGUCCCUUCUAUGCUGAAAUCCUAUCCAUUCUGCAAGGUCCAUGCCUAGAAAGUUCUCCAAUUACCCCACUCCCCAGGAAGAAGUAAAUUAGAUCCACAGCCUCAUGUCUGGGCCCUUCCUGCGAUCUUUAUCCCGUUCUCUUUUAUUGUAGUUAUUAAAUGUGCCCCCUGUCUUUCCCCAGCUAGCUUGGGAGCUCCCCCAAGGGCUCAUAAUGGAUGGUCAACCAUCCUUUGUCUUCCCCUCCUGAUGUAGCCCAGAACAGGUCCCUGCACACAGUAGGUGCUCAGUGUGCAAUCCAUUCAUUAAAUAAACAGAACUGGGUCCCAAACCUG